rnacentral:other from 1 species
AUUUACCUGAAAUGUUCGAUAACUCUUGUUGUUUUGAACCUACAUUUACUUUAAACGGGAUUCCUAUAUUGUUUUAUGGAUGUCAUGCCUCCCAUUAAGUGAUGAGGACGGCAGAAGUAAAAUUGCGGUUACCCACCUGGCUUAGGCUAGGAGUCAAAAUACAGGAGCCGGCAUUUUGGGGCACAA